CGGAGGGUGCGAGCGUUGUCCGGAAUCACUGGGCGUAAAGGGCGCGUAGGUGGCUUCUCAAGCGCGCGGUGAAAGCCCGGGGCUCAACCCCGGGUCGGCCGUGCGGACUGGGAGGCUCGAGCACUGUAGGGGCGGGUGGAAUUCCGGGUGUAGCGGUGGAAUGCGUAGAGAUCCGGAAGAACACCGGUGGCGAAGGCGGCCCGCUGGGCAGGAAGGCUCGCAAGAGCCGGCUGACACUGAGGCGCGACAGCGUGGGGAGCAAACAGGAUUAGAUACCCUGGUAGUCCACGCCGUAAACGAUGGGCACUAGGUGCUUGGGGGAGCGACCCCCCGGGUGCCGGCGCUAACGCAUUAAGUGCCCCGCCUGGGAGUACGGCCGCAAGGCUG
rnacentral:rRNA from 1 species